rnacentral:rRNA from 1 species
ACCCGCUGAACUUAAGCAUAUCAAUAAGCGGAGGAAAAGAAACCAACAGGGAUUGCCUCAGUAACGGCGAGUGAAGCGGCAAAAGCUCAAAUUUGAAAUCUGGCUCUUUCAGGGUCCGAGUUGUAAUUUGUAGAAGAUGCUUCGGGUGUGGUCCCGGUCUAAGUUCCUUGGAACAGGACGUCAUAGAGGGUGAGAAUCCCGUAUGUGACUGGGUACCUACGCUCAUGUGAAGCUCUUUCGACGAGUCGAGUUGUUUGGGAAUGCAGCUCAAAAUGGGUGGUAAAUUUCAUCUAAAGCUAAAUAUUGGCCAGAGACCGAUAGCGCACAAGUAGAGUGAUCGAAAGAUGAAAAGCACUUUGGAAAGAGAGUUAAACAGUACGUGAAAUUGUUGAAAGGGAAGCGCUUGCAAUCAGACUUGCGCCUAGUCGAUCAUCCGGGCUUCUGCCCGGUGCACUCGAUUAGGCUCAGGCCAGCAUCGGUUUGGGUGGUUGGAUAAAGGCUUGGGGAACGUAGCCUCCUUCGGGGGGUGUUAUAGCCCCAGGUGCAAUGCAGCCUACCUGGACCGAGGACCGCGCUUCGGCUAGGAUGCUGGCGUAAUGGUUGUAAGCGACCCGUCUUGAAACACGG